rnacentral:rRNA from 1 species
UACGUAGGGUGCAAGCGUUAUCCGGAAUUAUUGGGCGUAAAGAGCUCGUAGGCGGCGUGUCGCGUCGGGGAGUGAAAGCCCGCUGCUUAACGGCGGGUUGGCUUCCGGUACGGGCAUCGCUGGAGUGCGGCAGGGGAGACUGGAAUUCCUGGUGUAGCGGUGGAAUGCGCAGAUAUCAGGAGGAACACCGGUGGCGAAGGCGGGUCUCUGGGCCGUUACUGACGCUGGAGGAGCGAAAGUGUGGGGAGCGAACAGG